rnacentral:miRNA from 1 species
UUGAAGACUACGUCUGGUUGAUCCAGUCCACUUAAUCCUGAGAAAGUCCACAGAUUGGAUCGGGUCUUGGAUUUUAGCUGGAUUCAUUGACUGGGCUAUAUUUGUCAUU